UUUUAUGGAGAGUUUGAUCCUGGCUCAGGACGAACGCUGGCGGCGUGCCUAAUACAUGCAAGUCGAGCGGAUCGAUGGGAGCUUGCUCCCUGAGAUCAGCGGCGGACGGGUGAGUAACACGUGGGUAACCUGCCUGUAAGACUGGGAUAACUCCGGGAAACCGGGGCUAAUACCGGAUAACACCUACCCCCGCAUGGGGGAAGGUUGAAAGGUGGCUUCGGC
rnacentral:rRNA from 1 species